rnacentral:sRNA from 1 species
GCUGGGCAUGGUGGCACAUGCCUGUAAUCCCAGCAGCUCAGGAGGCUGAGGCAGGAGGAUUGCAAGUUCAAAGCCAACCUCAG